UCGCUCAUGGCUCAGCCUGUGCCUGCUUGGAAAAUCAGAAUGCGAGCUCCUGCGAGCUGCAGGGCGGUGUGAACGAGGAGGGGAUUAACCCGGGGACGGCGUAAAUAAUGAGGGAAUUAACCCAAAAAUGUUAUUCACCCCGUUCUGGCUGUGACAUUGCUAUGAACAGAAAGCUGUAUUUUUUUUAGGUGGCAGAGUUAAAGACAAGUCAGACCAGUUGCUGUAAGUCAGUUUCGCUGCCAAAGAGUUCUUCAAUUACCUGUUAAUGGCUGGUGAUUAACGAUUGUCACCCUGAUGCUGGCCAGGGAGGGACACCAGGAAAAUAUGAGUGGCAUCAGAGCCGGUAUGCAGAUGAGAAAUGCAUUGCACCAAAUUUUUCAGUUUUCCAGGAAAACCCCUAAAAUUACGAGCCAAUGUUAUGAAUAGAAAGCUGUCUAUUUUUUUUAGAUGGCAGAGUUAAAAACAAGUCAGACCAGUUGCUGUAAGCUAGUUUCAUUCCUAAAGAGGAGUUCUUCAAUUACCUGUUAAUGGCCGGUGAUUAACCACUGUCCCCUGAUGCUGGCCAGGGAGGGACACGGGACAGACCCAGCAGUGACAUCAGAGCCGGUAUGCAGAUGAGAAAUGCACUGCGCCCCGAAUUUUUACAGUUUUCCCAGGAAAAACCCCUAAAAUCACGAGCCAACGAGUGACCUGAGUGACGUCUGAGGACGGGAGCGCAGUCCCGUACCUGCUUGGAUCCUUUUUGCUUCUCACCCCGACCUGAAAAGAUGCUGAUUGAAGAGACGCCCCGGGGUGCUGGACCAAAAGCAGGAAUCUGCUGCUCUCCGUGAGGACGGAACCCCCAGCUCUGCCUGCAGACCAGGACAGAGCUGCACCAUCCUCCUCCUCCUCCUCCUCCUCCUCCGUGCCACGCUGGGAGCAGCGGCGGCGAUUCCUCCCCACCUGAGCUGAUUCUUCCCAACAAAGGCAUUAAAAGGAGGAAGAUCUCCUGCCCGUUUAUUUCAACAUCACCUCUGGAUCAGCGGCACGACUGGAAUUAAAACCAUAUCAUCACCACGAGGCCGGGCUCAGACUCACACGGGUGGCCAAGCCCUGGAUAAAGCAGCUCCAUCUCCAGCCCCCAAGGCCGGCUGGGAUGCCACCCCACCAUUAACAUUUUAGUGCAGGUCACUGGAGAACUUGUUGUGCUUUGCCAAAUUACACAGGCGCGGGCAGCAAGAAGGAGCAAAGAAUUCCCUCUGGCAGGUGUUCAGCAGUAAUUUGCUGAAAAGCCACAGGAAAAAAGCAGGGAAAUUCAUUAUUUAGCUCUGACAAUGUCAUGACCGCUAAGGCUGGUGCUGUUUCCAGCAGCACGGGAUAAAAGGUGGAUUUAUGAACAUUGCUGAUUUUGGGGUGGCUCCAAUUCCUGAGGAAACACCUCGGAAUCCUUGGGGGAAGAUGGGUUUGGUUCCAGCAUCCCCACUGGGAAACCCAAAACCACACACGUGGGUUUGGUUUCCUCGUGUGCUCAUUCCAAACUGGAAUAUUUCCCACGCAGGAGGAGCAGUAACAGGGCAGAUAACGGGAUAAGCAAUCCCAUCCCAUGGCUGACGAAGGAAAGCAGAUGGAAAGCUCCCCACCACGAGAUUAGGAUCUGAUGAAAUGACUUUUUUGCUCAGAAAGUGUCCAAAUAACAUCGACUCCAGCAGCUAAAAGUUGGAAAAUGCAGCAGGAAAUCGGCAGCAACAAAGGGCAGACAGCUUUGGGGUGAAAUUCCAUAAAUUCUGCAAGACUUAGGAAGGCAUUCAGGGAUAAAAACUCGGUGAUAAACAGUUUUUAAUGGUAAAAAUAGAAUGGUUUGGGUGGGAAGGGACCUUAAAGCUCAUCCCAUUCCAAUCUCAGCACCUUCCCAACCCCAGGAUGCUCCAGCCUGGUCUGGGACACUUCCAGGGAUGAGGAACCACAACCUCCCCGGGCAAUCUGUGCCUCACCACAUCCAAAGCCUGCAAACAAAGAAAACCUGCCUGUUUUUUCCAGAACUAUUAGGAGCUGGGCUGCAAAUCUCUGUGAACAAAAGGGAAUUUAGGCAGAUUUUCUGCUGUAAACGAUCUGGCACUGAAACAACAGCCACUUAUCUCCUGCCUGGCCCGCUGGAUGUCCGGAGGGAUUUGACAGACAAGCUUGGAUGGAUCCAGCAAUUUCCAGCCCUCCCCCUCCUCCUGCUGCCAGGGAGGGGACACGGCAGUCCCCACAUCCCAAAACUGCUGCUGGAAUCAGAGCUGAACCCGGCAAUUUGGGGCUUCAAGAGCCUCCCUGUCACUGCACCCACUCAUUACGGCAGGGAGCUGCCUGUCAAACACGGUUUUUAAUUUCCCACUCCCCCCCGGGCAGAGAUGGAGCUCCUCAGAUCGCUCUCCUGCCCAAAAUUCCAGGGAUUUGCCCCGUGGCAGGAGAAGGGUGAGGAGCUGCUCUGGAAGCAUCACCUGGAGCAGGGGGUCAGGGUAGAGGAGAGGAGAACAGCAGCCACUCGAGGGCCCCAGCAUGAAUCACCGAGUGACUCAAAGCCCGCCUCGCUUUGCUGGAGUCACAAUUAGCAUCGGGAAGCUCAAUUAAGGGACAUUAGUGCAACGAGCUCCGGAAUCGCAGGGCGGCUUCUUGGCUGCCUGGGGAGCCACGAGGUGAAAUGGGUUUGCUCUGACCCCUGGCCAGCAGGAUUGCUCACCCUGGGGUCACUGGGAUACAGGCACGGGCUCAACGUGCUCCUUUCUUACCCCACAGGGUCCUAAAAGCCGAGAAAAAAGCUGAAUUUUGGUUAAAAAACAGCACCAGCAAGCCUAGAAUUCCCUACAGAAACCUAUCUCCCUGAAAAAGUCCAAAAAUCUUGUUUGGAUCGUUUAAAUUUUGGUUAAAAUACAGCACCAGCAAGCAGGAACCUGCCUCCCUGAAAAAGUCCAAAAGUCUUGUUUGGGUAGUUUAGAAUUUUGGUUAAAACACAGCACCAGGAAGCCUAGAUUUCCCUACAGGAACCUGUCUCCCAGAAAAAGUCCAAAAGUCUUAUUUUAUUCAUAACAUUUGGGUAGUUUAGAAUUUUGGUUAAAAUACAGCACCAACAAGCAGGAACCUGCCUCCCUGAAAAAGUCCAAAAAUCUUGUUUGGGUCAUUUAGAAUUUUGGUUAAAAUACAGCACCAGCAAGCCCAGGUUGCCCUACAGGAACCUGUCUCCCAGAAAAAGCCCAAAAAUCUCAUGUGGGUACUUUAGAACAGACCACAACUUUAUAAAGCACCAAUUUUAAAAAGCAGGUUUGUUCCUCGACAUUGAAAAGCAAAUUCAGGCGUUGCUGAACCUUCAGAAUCACAGAAUUCCAGACUGGUUUGGGUGGGAAGGGACCUCAAAGCUCAUCCAGGUCCAACCCCAAGACCCUCCCCUACCCCAGGCUGCUCCAGCCUGGCCCUGGACACUUCCAGGGAUCCAGAAAAUUCUCUGGGAAUUGUGUGCCAAGGCCACCCUCUGCUGCAGCCACCAGGAUUUCUUGGAGCUUCCACCAGAGGAACGGCUGAAAUACCUGAAAUUAAGGUGGGAAUGUGAGACUGGCUGGGCUUGGAGAGGUCUCUGGAGACCACCCAGCCCUGAGGAGGAGGCACAGGGUCACAUCCAGGUGGGAUUUCAGCAUCUCCAGGCUCCAGAACCUCUCUGCUCUGUCACCCUCCAAGUUUUUCCUUUCCGUCUUCCCACAAACCCCAUGCCCUGAUCAUCACACCAAGUUUGGCUUGCUGUGAUCUCCAGGACAGAUUUCCAGCUGGGAUUUCAUUUCAAAAGGAAUCUGCAGCUCCACAUCCCAAACCAAGCACUGCAAGAACUGCCAAGAGCUGGGAUUUGUCCUGUUCCCAAAAAAAUCAAUCCGGCUUUUGGGACAGCUGGAGGGAAGCUCCCUCCCCACCAGGAUAAUCGUGGAUGACUGCUCCAGGGAGGACACAGACAGUGCUGGAACACAACAGGACUCCUGGCACGGGCAAUCCAAGGAAAAGCUGGAAAAGGUGGAGCUGGGAGCUGCUCCACCAGGAAUCAAAGGCAGCAGUCGCCCCUCAAGAGCUGUGGGAUUCCAGAUGGAAAAUGAGCUUUUUAAGGGACUGUUUUGGGGAUAAUUGUGCCUGCUCUGCCCCUGGAAGCUGUCUCAGGAAUGUCCUGAGCUGGGUUAUCUCCUCUCUGUCUCAUGCAGCCUUAUCAAACAUCAGGCAACCCAGCACACCCCUGAAGCAAAAAAUUAAAAAUUACAAAUUAUUUUCGUCCUGAGAUCCUGAAAAUCAUGGAAUGGUUUGGGUGGGAGGGGACUUUAAAGAUGAUGGAAUUCCAGCCUCCUGCAGGCACCUUCCAUGAGAUCAGGCAGCUCCAGCCUGGCCUUGGGCACUUCCAGGGAUCUGGGGAAAGCCACAGCUUCUCUGGGUCACCACAAUGUCCUUCUGAAAACCCUCUGCUGGGAUUGUUCUCCUGUUCUAGCUGAGAAGCCUCAUUAAAGAAAUUAAACAACAACUCUCUGAUGGAAUGUGGUCUGGAGAUUGUUCACCAACAGGUGCAUCCUGGAUUGGUCCAUCUGAGAUGUUUAUAUUAAAUAACCAACCAAAGAUGUGUUGGACUCUGAGAGUCACCAGCUUUUGUUGUCAUUCCUUUCCAUUGAUGGAUCCUCUCUCUCUGUUCUUUUUUGUAUAGUUUUAGUGUAGCAUUUAAUAUAAUAUAAUAUUAUAAUAAAAUAAAUCAGCCUUCUGAAACAUGGA